rnacentral:rRNA from 1 species
CAAGGAAUUUUGCGCAAUGGGCGAAAGCCUNACGCAACGACGCCGCGUGGGGGAUGAAGGCCCUCGGGUUGUAAACCCCUUUUCUCGAGGAAGAACUAUGACGGUACUCGGGGAAUAAGUCUUGGCU